ACAGUUGCGGAAACAAAACUGCCGAACAAGGUGCUACUUGGUUCAGCCUAGUUGGUAUAUGAUGUUGCUACAGUGCCACCUGCCUUUUGCAAGGUGCUUGUUUUCUAUUGGUUAUCAUGGCCAUGUGAUUAGGCUCUUAGAUCAGAGUAGCCAUUUUGUUUGUUUCAGUGCAGCAUGUGCCUGUGUUUUGCAAUCCAUUGCAUCCACCGCUGUUGAGCCUUGAAAAAGCUUUGUUUUUUCACAAGAAAUAUUGUUCCUGGCAUUGUUACGGUGACAAAGAUCUUCAGUAAACAAACUUCAACUUACUAUACGUCUAAGUCAUCUUUCACCUGCCCAGCAAGUGUUUAGCUCUCUGUCACUCCGUGAAGACGCGCACGUAGGGGACAGAAUAGUGAAAAAACAGCAUCACGGCAGGCUCAACACAGCAGGAAAACACCAGCUCUUCGUCCGCUGCUCACCUCAGCAUACAAGAUGGACAACAAUGGAAACACGGAGGAUCAGCAAAAUGCUCCAGCUCGACCAUCAUCUGUUAAGUCGCAUGUGACCAGUAGCAGUCUGGAGCGGAGCAUAACAGACGGGUGGACAGAGAAGAGAGGGACACGGAUGAAAGGAGGAACUGAGACAGAACAAGAGCUGCUGUGGAGUGAGAGACGGUGGAGGCUGCUUAUCGGCGAGCGGCUGGGAAGUGAGAGACGAGGAGCGCUGCUUCUGGGGAACUGACAGAGGCGGAGAGGAUUCACCGGACAAGGUCUGGUGAGGCACCGGGCGAGAGAGAGACUGAGUGGUUGUGGGAGUGGGAGUAAAAUAAACUGUGUUACCCUGACAAUCUGCCGUUGUGUGUGUAUUGAGUGGACCUACUGGCAGACGACCUGUCACACUAACCUUCAGAUGGCGUUCAGACGAUGAGGACUCUGAUUGGUAUCGAACCUACAAGGCUAAUUAUCCUUGGUGAAGUUGUCAGAUGGUACAAACUGGCACUCAACAGUCACUGGUGUGGCAUUCUUUACAGACAUUCUGUGGGCAUGGGCAGUAGCCAUGCCUACAGUAGACAUCACAACACCCACGCACUACUUAACUACCAAGCUAACAUACUGGAGCCCCCCACUUGCAGUGUAAGUUGUGGUAUAGGAAAAUGACAUAAUAUGGUAGAACAUGGGAGCUUGAAUGUCGGAAGAUUGGCUUGAAAGUCAAUUUUACUGGAUGCUUGUUCAUGUGAACAUCUGUCUCAUCUACUCUUACUUGUAUCAGGAGGCCAGGUUGAUCCUGCUGCCUUGGAGUGCCUCUUAAAGAACUACAAAACACUAUAUGGACGAACAGUGUUGUAAAAUAUGUAAAUAACAGAAUUUGGGAUAAUCACAAAAAAAAACUGAUGUAACAUGUUACAUUGGCAAGAUCAUUUGACAAGAGUGUCUUUCAGACCAUCUCUUAGUUCUGCAGUAUUAUACAGUACUGACACGUGAGCAUGG